rnacentral:lncRNA from 1 species
CGCGCCGCCACCAUCUCGUCCGCCGGCGCUGCCGGCUGCAGCGACAUCCACCCGCCGCCUUUACCUUCCUGGGCGCGAGCCCGCGCUCAUGUCCGGGGCUGGCGGAAAGCGCUCCCUGAGGACACGUAAAAGCGUUUCAGACCCGGGCAGCGUCCCUGCCCGCGCUGCUCCUCUGGCAGGCUCCGCUCGCGCAGGGAGACGCGCGGCACUUGGCUCCCGCCUGAAGCAGGGCCUUGCUUCCUGAGCCUGGGAACCGGGUCUGCGGURUCUACACCAGGACGAGUGUGCAACGCGGUUUCCUCUGUCUGUUUAUCGGGAAUGCUGCAAGCAGCAGGCUCCAGCUCGGCUCCAGCGUAUUUUAUAGCAUCUAUACUCGCUUUCUCUCUCCCUCUCCCCCCCUUCUCCCUCUUCCUCUCUCCCAGUGCGUGUUUGUGUGUGUGUGUGUGCGCGCGUGUGUGUGUGUGUGUUAGAAUGCAACACAGGUGAACAUUGCAGCAAUAUUUAUCUAAGGCUAUAUAUCAUUUGGCGAAAUGCCUUAAUAAAAUGCUGAUUUAUUGUUUAUUUUUAUUAACC